UGCUCAAUGAWKARUUAAAUAGCCGCAGUAUUUUGACUGUGCAAAGGUAGCAUAAUAAUUAGUUUCUUAAUUAGGGACUUGUAUGAAUGAUUGAACAAGAAAAUUUCUGUCUCUUUUUAAUUUUUUUUUGAAUUUUAUUUUUAAGUUAAAAUGCUUAAAUAUUUAUUAAAGACGAGAAGACCCCAUAGAGUUUUAUUUUUAAAAUUUUUUAGUAUAAUUCAUGUUAAAUAAAAAUUGGUUGGGGUGACUAGAAGAUUUAAUUAACUCUUUAAAUUUUAAUCAUUUAUUUUUGAAUAUAAAGUCUAAUUUUUUAAGUUUAAAUUAAAUUACCUUGG
rnacentral:rRNA from 1 species